rnacentral:rRNA from 1 species
UACGAAGGGGGCUAGCGUUGUCCGGAAUUAUUGGGCGUAAAGAGCUCGUAGGCGGUCUGUCGCGUCUGCUGUGAAAACCUGGGGCUUAACCCCCGGGCCUGCAGUGGGUACGGGCAGACUAGAGUGUGGUAGGGGAGACUGGAAUUCCUGGUGUAGCGGUGAAAUGCGCAGAUAUCAGGAGGAACACCGAUGGCGAAGGCAGGUCUCUGGGCCACUACUGACGCUGAGAAGCGAAAGCAUGGGGAGCGAACAGG